UACGUAGGGUGCAAGCGUUAAUCGGAAUUACUGGGCGUAAAGCGUGCGCAGGCGGUUUUGUAAGUCUGACGUGAAAAUCCCCCGGGCUCAACCUGGGAAUUGCGUUGGAGACUGCAAGGCUGGAGUCUGGCAGAGGGGGGUAGAAUUCCACGUGUAGCAGUGAAAUGCGUAGAGAUGUGGAGGAACACCGAUGGCGAAGGCAGCCCCCUGGGGUCAAGACUGACGCUCAUGCACGAA
rnacentral:rRNA from 1 species